UUUGGUGACUAUUGCGGUGGGGCUCACCUCUUCCCUUUUCGAACAGAGUCGUUAAGCCCACCAGCGCAGAUGGUACUACGAAAGUGGGAGAGUAUGUCGUCGCCAAUC
rnacentral:rRNA from 1 species